CACUACGGUCGCGCUGGCGGAGCAACCGAAAGGUUGGCCGUUUUUGUCGUGUGCGGUAUUCCUACCUCCGUCAGCGCUACCACCCAU
rnacentral:antisense_RNA from 2 species